GAAUCAGGAGGCAGAGCACAUGGUUAAAGCAUGAGAUGUGAAACCAGGAAGAACCAGGUCUGAACCUUAGCUCCACCAGUGGUAGCUUCAAACCUUGGUCCUUUCUGAGCCUGCUUCUUCAACCGUAAGCUCAUCCCCUAUUCUCUUCUUGCAAUCGGGAUGCUGCCUGACUACCAACACACCUGCACAAAGCCCUCUGCAGCACCUGCCACUGGCCCAUGCUUUUGUCAUUGCCACCUCCAGCUCAGCCUCAUUCCCCUCCAGGCUCUGCUCCAACGCACAGGACCACAGGAACUCGGAAACGGGACCCAGAAAGUUGUUUUCUCAAGUGGAUGGAACAACACAAGCAAUCAGUAUCCUGAAACAGGCCCUGUUCCAACAAACUGACCCAGAAAGGUCUGGUUAGGAGGACAGGACCCUCACUAUACACUAUCACAUUUAAACUAAAAGGAUAUUAUGAAUUAUGUACACAUAUCAAGCUGAGAGGAAAGGAAAUCCUAUCAUCUUGCAGGCUUCCUAAUG
rnacentral:lncRNA from 10 species